GAUGCUUCUGGACCAUCAAUUUCACCCUCAUGGAGCCAAAGCCUUGUUUGUCGUUCCGCCUGGCUCCGCAGCAUGAGCCUCCACUGACUGCGCGCGCACCUCCCCAAAACGACGAAGCGUUUAUACUUGACGCUCUCACUGUUGUAAUAUUCUUUGAAACGAUAGGGGGCGACUCGUAUUAAUCGUCCUAUAAACCAACAGGAAGUAGCUGAGAGAAGUAGUAGUUUGUCGGAAAAACCACAGCAAUGCUUACAAACCAGGCGUCUCUCGUGGAGUUGUUGAAUGUGCUGCAGCCUGGUUCAUAUAGAAGACGCCCAUCUCAUUGCGGAUGUUUCCAAGCCUCUUCAGAACCUGAGCCAGCUUCUCUGGGCUCAGGUCUUUCAGAGCUUCAGAGGUUAAAAUUUCAUAGGCUGCCUCAUAGCACUUGCUGCUGACAAAUAGUUGGUACUCUGGGUCAGUGGCCAGGUCAGUGG